UAGGGAAUCUUCGGCAAUGGACGAAAGCCUGACGGAGCAAUGCCGCGUGGAGGUGGAAGGCCUACGGGUCGUCAACUUCUUUUCUCGGAGAAGAAACAAUGACGGUAUCUGAGGAAUAAGCAUCGGCUAACUCUGUGUCAG
rnacentral:rRNA from 1 species